AGGUACAAGUCAUAUGUGUGUGUGUGCGAGUAAAUCUUGAACAGAUGAAGGUUUGAUGGUGGGAGACUCGGAGAGGGAUGUUAAAAACCUGUAAAAUCUACUUUUAACCAGGCCUGCAUGCUGUUUUUAACUUCUCAGGAUCUGUCCAGCCAGUAGUAGUUUAUUUUUUCAGUGGCUUAUUAAGUACGCAAAUGAAGGGUGAAUGGCUCCUCCGGUAAAAAACAAUUGAGAAAUUGCCUUGUACAUGGCUUCAGUGAGGUGCACUCCAUCCCAGUUGAUGUACUGAGAUGGGUUUGGGCACGAGGUUGCAUAAACUGAGCCACAUGGUGCUAACGGGUUCAAAUUAUAUGAUCCGCCACUUGUUCCACAGCAAGCGCUGUAGAGCUCAUAGAAGCCAAAGUUGCGUGGAUUCCUCAUGACAGUCCUGUAAGCGUUGAAGUAAUCAGCAUAAGCAAUGAUAGCAUUUGGAAACGCUUUCCUUAAAUCUUGCAACCUGGCCUGGUAGAUGUUGUUGUGAUAGUAACUCACGGCAUUCACGCUUGCAACACAUCCAAUAUCAUCUCUAUCGAAGCCUGAUGAGACACCCAUGGACAAUGUGAGGCAGCCUAUUGGAGGCAGACCUUGGACAACAACAGACUUGGCACCUUUACUGAGCAAUACCUGUAAAACAACAGAAGUCAUUAUGCAGUAAUUACCUGCAGGAAAUCAGUAGCACUCUUAAUUGCAAGCUGGCGUGUGGUAUCGCCUGAUACAAAAGAACCAACACUAUAUGCAUAGUCAUUUACUCCAAUUUCACCAAACCAGAUUAAAGCCUCAUCAAAUACUGCAUUGCACUGCUGAGGUGUUGUUGUAGAGCUUCUACACCCUUGACUGCCCAAGAACUCUUGGAACCAGCCAAGUUGAGUUUCAAGUGCCUGAGAACUGUAGGCUGCUGUUAUAUUGUUCCUUACAUAGAAACUGUGUUCUAUAGCUGUGGAACCAGCAAUAGCAAAAUUAAUGCCAUGUGAUCUAUCAGCCUCUUUCUGAAGGUAAGGUGGCAAAUACGGUAAAGAGAGUGUCUCAGUUAAAAAAUCAAUCACAAGGCGUCCAUCAGAGAAUCUGUUUGUUGGGUGGUGGAAGAAUGUGCGACCAUAUGGAGGAUUUGAGGCAGAGAGGUAAGCGCCUGCUCCAGCAAUGCUUCUUGUAUUGCCAGUGUCAGUAAAGGAAUCACCGAAGGCAUAGAUCUUUCUAAAGGUACUAAGUUUUGCACCACUUGCUGCAGUAGAGGCCUGUGUGGGGGUAGAAGCAUGUGUGGGAGGAGGGAAGAUAAUGAUUGAAAUGGUUAUGAAAAUGAGGGUGAUUUGGAAAGAGAAAUAUAUGUAGAAGAAAGGCAUUAUGGCUAUCUUGUAUGCUUUAUUUGGUAGUCUUGAUGAUGUGCUUGUUAUAUAUACCUCUGAGUUAUUUCCAAAUGACAGUGAUGUCCUUGCAUAUGGAGGGAAAUAAAUUCAUCAGUUCUAUCUACCAUAAAACACUUUGCUUUCUCCAGAUGACACAGUUAAAACUUCUAAUGCACUUUAACACCAUAUCUGCAAUCUGGUUUCCAGCUAAAGGGUGGCAUUUAUGGCAUUCAUUCAUUUGACUAUCUACUGAAAGUUUUGUCUCAAGGAGCCCCACAGAUGUAAUUCCUCGCUUCCAGGUUAUGUGCCUAAUCCACUUCUAAAUUUCUAAUUAUAGUCUUCUUUGUGUGUGAAUGUUGAUGCAGUCUUAAUAUUCACUAGAUUAUUUACUUCAAGCAAGUUAAGGUACUCAAAAUCUGUUCCAUCGGAAUGUUAAUACCUGUAGCCGUUAAAGAAGGGAUGGGGGGCUUCCAUUUUCUCAUAGAAGACCCUUCAAUUUAUGGAAGAAGACAAGGGCAGACAAACUUGCUUAGCCAUAAUCGUGCAUGGAGUAGCUUGGGGAACUUAAGAGUGACUUCUCCCCUGUGCAUCAGUUCUUUCACAUUGCUGCAGUAUUACCUUGCAUUACUAAGUCUUAUUACCUUUCUUGCAGCAGACAGCAUGGAACUGACAAGUUUUUUUUACAAGAAUACUAUAAUUCCUUAACUGAAUGAUAUGUAGUGGUGAAUAUCCACGCUGGUCAUAUCAGUGCAUGGCCUAGUUAUAUAUGAUCGUAAUGAAGGCUGUGUAGCUUCUGCCUCAUUUCCUUGGUCACUGAUAAUGGUUAUACUUAUACACAUAUUGGAGGAACUAGCAUGUUGGUUCAUAAAGCUUCAGUGUAAAACCUAUAUGUGCUCUACAUACACGAUGUUGAGAAUUAAGAUACCUGGUAGACAGUGAUGGCGUUAGUACUAUGAACUUAAAUUUUAUCCUUUUGGGUGGUAAUCAUGUCCUUAAGAUAAUUUACCCUUCCUUAGCAAAUCUGCAAACAAGUUCCGGCCUUGGGAUAAAGCUUGCACUUUAUUAGAAUAUAAACUCUAAUCUAAUAUUAUUACAUAAGUAACACUUCAUACAGUAGCAAUUAUGAGUUGAAUUGUUGAUCACAUUGACGAGCAUUAAAAUCCUGCGCUGAUGAGUGCUAUCACUUAUCAGUCAUCCAGAGUUUUUUUUAAUGCUUAGCAGGUACUGAAAUGGUGGGCUGGUGAGUGCUCCAUGGAGAAACAAGUCAGAAACCACCUUGUUCAUGCCUUCAGUGAGGUGGACUCCAUCCCAAUUGAUAUACUCAGAGGGAUUGGCACAGGUAGUUGAGACAGGCGAGCCACACGGUCCAGAAGAAUCAAAGUUAUACUGCCCACCACUGGAUCCACAGCAAACUUUGUACAGCUCAUUGAAGCCGUAAUUAUGUGCAUUCUUUAUGACAGUGUGAUGGUGUUGUGACUGUAGCUCCGCUUGUUCACACUUCCAACACAUCCAAUGUCAUCUCGGUCAUCUUCUCGAGAGAGAUACAUUGCCAAUGUGAGGCAUCCUGUUGGAGGAAGACCUUGCACAACAACAUACUUUGCACCCUUAUACAACAAUAUCUGAAUCACAAAUAAUAGGUUUUAAGUGAACACCAUGUAUGUAGUUGUAUGAACACAUAAGUUACCUCUAAGAAAUCAGUUGUUCUCUUGAUUGCAAGCUCUUGAAUUGUUCUAUCCGAGACAGAAGAUCCUACUAUAUAUGCAUAGUCAUUAGCUCCAAUUUCACCAACCCAUAUCAAGGCCUCAUCAAACACUGCCUUGCACUUCUGUGAUGUAGCUUUUAUGUCUAUACACCCUUGACUCUCUAAGAACUUUGUAAACCAAGAAAGUUGAGUUUCAAGUGACUCUGGGGUAUAAUCUCGUGUGAUAUUGUUCUGUACGAAGAAUUCGUGCUCAAUAGCAGUGGAACCAGCAACUGCAAAAUUUACACCACUUGACUUAUCAGCAGUUGUGUUACGAUAAGGUGGUAAAUAUGGUAAAGAUAACAACUCAGCUACAAAGUCGAUCACGAGGCGUCCGUCAGAGUAUCUGUUGGUGGGAUGGUGAAAGAAUGUUUGGCCAUAAGGAAGGUUUGAUCCAGUGCCAGACUGUGUGUUGCCAGUGUCUGUAAGGGAGUCCCCAAAUGCAUAUAUUUUUCCAAAAGGCCGCGUAUUCAUUUCGCCAUGAGCAGAAGAAGAUAGUAUGAGAAUGUUGAUGAUGGUUAUUUUCAAGGGAAAACUCAUGAUGUGUAAGCUUUCCUAACGGAAGCUCUUGAUCAAGUAAAUUUGCUCAGAAUGCAAGAGAUCUGAACACUGUGAAGUUGUAGUUCUUUUAAAUUCUUGGUAUGGUGGAUUGGUAGGAAAUAGGAAUGGCUUUAGUUUUAAGAUCCUUUUCGAAAUGUUUAUGGUAAUUGAGGUUCUAAUG